rnacentral:snRNA from 1 species
GUGCUCGCUGUGGCAGCAUGUACAAUACAGAGAAGAUGAGCUUGGCCCCUGCACAGGGAUGGUCUGCAGAUCCUGAAGCGCUCCAUGCUGUU